rnacentral:lncRNA from 1 species
UGCUAUUUCAGAGUAUCAGGGGACAAAAGAUUGCUGAGCAAAGUCAGGAAAAACAUUUCAGGUUGCGCUGUUUUCCCACUUGCAUGGCAAUAUUGUUCAUUUUUUGGGCAGGCCGUCCAUUUCUUUGUAAUAGUUAACCUUGUCUCAUCAUCAACAAAUUCCUAGAGGACAUGAAGAGGAAAUUAAGCUGGUAAACACUAUAUCUAGAAAUCUAAGAUGCUAGAUAAGAUGCACAUCAGCACCAUCAAUAUCCCAGAUCUCAGUGAAUUGUCAUUAAGCUGAAACUGCUGCUAGAUAUCAUGAAAAAAAUUCUUGUUUUUCUACAAGCUCCAGUAAAUGCUGGAAUAUACUUCUCUCUGAAUUAAAUGGCACUUAAGUUACUUCCUUUAAACUUUUUUAGUUAUAUUAUGUUGAAUUUUGUAUAACAGAUCUAGUAGCCAUCAAAUAAACAAAAUUAAUUUGUUGAUAUUAUUUUGUUUCAGCUUGUUCCAUUUAACAUAUAUGAGGUAUCCAGGGAUGGAUAGAUGAAAAAAUUUUCCGCCCCAGUUUUGACCUCAAAGAAGUGAGU